ACAGCCCCUCCCCUCUCCUCCUAGAUGGGCCAUCCUCUCUCUCCACCGCACACCACUCCUCUCUCUCCCCCAUGUAGAGAACCCUAGAACUCCCCGAUCCAGAUCCCUCCCCUCCCCUUGCCGCCAUCCACCGCCGCUCUCUGCCGGCCUUGACCCCCUCCCUCCCCUGCCCUCCGAACACUGUCACCGGCCAGAUCCACUACAGCCCCCACCCCGGCCUCUCUCUCAUGACCCAUCUCUCUCCCCCGCACUGCACGCCGCCGCCACAUGUGCUAUCCAAUUCUAAUAUUCUUCGGUGACACAUGGCACCGCGCAGCAAGGGGCUCGCAUCUCUCCGUCCAGAUCCAAUGGGCGCCUCCCUGGCCUCGGAUCAGGCCUGCACGACCUGGGUGCCACCACCGCCACCGUCACACCCGUAGCCGAGAUCCAUGGCGUUGGCCCGUGGCUAGUGCUGGGAGGCGUGGAUUCAUGUGUGCUCCGGUUGCGGAUUCUGACCGUCCAAGGCGCCGUGUCCUCAAGGUGCAGAAGAGACCUCAUCUCCACUCCAAGGCCAUUCAUGCUGGCGUAGAUUGGCGUGCUCGCACGCGUUGGCUGGACAGCAGCGACACUGACCUCCUCCGUCGUGUCUCCCAAGACGCCGUGCAUCCUGCCGCGACCACCUCUAUUGCGCGACAGUGGUGGCCGACCUGCAAUGCGACCGCUGCAUUGCCAGUAACCUCUUCGCAAUGGCAACACAAGUAGGAACCUUGGAUACUCCUCGUUUAAGUCCACAAGUGGUAGGAUUCUCUGUUCAUGGGAGUCACCAUCUAGGCAUGCUUGCUACUUCACGAGAAUGCUGCAUUGUUCUUUAGCUGUCGAUUUUUUGUGUAGAUUUACUAUAUCGAGUUGAGGGCUUGAGGUAGGCUGUAGGUGAUUAGAACAACCACCUGUUAAGUAAGAUCAGGUCUAGUGUAUGCUCCGAACACAAGAUCCUUUACUUGCUCUGGUUUGGUUAAGACUGAUGAUGCCAUGGAUAAGAAAACAAUUUAAAAGGUAUGUUGAAGCAAGGUGGAAGCAUGUUCUUUCUUGCAACGUACCCUCAACCCCUAAACCCUUUUUAUUUGAACUUGUUAGUUAUGUUCUGGAGUCUGGAAUUUUUGAAUCAAUAUCUAUCUGAUUAAUGCAUGCCUUGUUUUAUUUUUUAGUUUGUUGCAAAACAUAUAUGUGGUAUAUCUGAUUAGUUAUGUUGUAAAAGAAUGCUUGUCUCUGACACUAUUAUUCUUAUGUUGAUAUAUGUGCCAAGUUUUGUUUGUUUCAAAUCAAUAUCUAUCUGAUUAAUUACUGACCAUGGUGAGCUAGAUCCAAACAAAAAGACACUUACAUUAACUUGGCACUUUCAGUCCUUGUAAUUCUGAUAGUGUGGAACUAUAUUUUGUAUACAUAGUCAACUAGUUUUCAUUUUAUAUUUGCUUGCUUAUGUGGAACUAUAUUUUCUCAUUUUUAUAAUUAUGACAUGGAUGAUAUGAAAUAUCAGAAUUGUUUCUGUUACAUGGUGUGCUGCUGGAAAGCCCCUGUGUAGGUUUAUUGUCUCAUAAUUGGGCAAUUAUUUUCUUGCAGGGGCCACCCAUUCGAGCUCACUUUGACCCUCUUUUGCUCUGUAGUGGUCCUGGUACAUGAAAAUAAGGUCCUUUUAAAUGUUUUGCUUCCUUGGUUGCAUUCUGCUGUACACUCAAAAAUAUUUUCAAUUUAGUUACAAGAAAACAAUAAAAUAGUCAAAAGGCUUUUAUUUAAUGUGGUUUUCAAAAAUGAAAAUGUGUUGUGAUGUUCUCCUCUUUCUGUUAACAUGUAUGUUGAGUAAUAUCAAGCCAUAAUUAUAGUCCCUCCAAGACAUGCUCAAACGUAGUCGCAUGUAUAGAUUUGUGUGGCCGAGGUAUAGUUUUAAGAUGAGAUAUGUGGCUGAGGUAUAGUUUUAAGAUGAGAUACAUAUAUAUGGAACUCCUGUAAGGGAAUUAGAACUAGAGAAAUAUAUAUGUAUGGGUACCUCGGCUAUUGGAAAUACCAACUAUACAAUCAUCUUGUUAAUUACUACACAUCAUCUUGUUGCAGCAUCAUUACUAAAACUAA